AGCAGAAGUUAAGAAUCAAUUUCCCUGCGCUUUAAAGAACAUGUAUUUAAGUAAAUCACUUCCUCAGAAAUAUUGAUUCAUUCCAAAAGCAUUUAAAUAAUAUGAAAAACAAGAGGAUUUCUAUGUAGAAGCUGUAUCUUGACAGUGAAGUAGAUUUGCACUUAAGAAAAAUAUAUUUACACAAAUAAUCUACAUCUUGUUCAAGAGAGAAAAUAGGCUUUAAUGUAGUAAUAGGACUAUUUAUGUAAUGAACUCUCCCGGGCUGCUGCAUAAAUAAUAACUCCUGAACUGUGAGAAUGUUUUUAUAUGAAAACUGGCUUUGUGAACUUUCCUAAGAAUUUGGUUCUGUGAUUACAUCAAAGGCUAAACUUUAUGAGCAAAUGAAGCACUGUGAAGACAUGAGGACAUUUCUAAUGGAAACAUCAUAACUAGAAGCAGAUUUCCUUAAAAGAUAUGUUUGGAAAAUGCUUAGGCGUCUUAAUGGCCCCAGUGUCUUGCAAAGGAUUCUGGUGGUCAGCAACUGUCUUCCCAAGCAUCUCGGACAUCAGCAAGCCCUGCUCUGGGGUGGGACGCCAGCCAGCUUGUGAAAUGUUUCUGCAAGAACUUUUGGCUGCCUUAACCGCCUAAAGCAAAUGUUUGUUUGCUGCACUACGCGAAUCAAAUGCUUUUGUGUGAAAACACUUACUAGAGAAACAAAUGUUUGUUUUGGUAAUCGACAUUUGGACUGUUGGAACAUUACCACUUAGGAUAUUGGUCUGAGAAAUAUACAUUUAAUUUGGAAAGCACCAGUUAGGAUCAAGCACCAGUGACUUGCUGUGGAAGGUCCUAGUACUGUCAUUUCAUCGGGUCCGGCAAUACCAGCUGAAGUUCAUGAACUGAGGGCCAGUCAGCGAAGGUAGCGGCUCUGCGGCCCAGACCCAGGCAGGAACAAAGAAGUAACAAGACUAUAAGAAGUUACCAGGACAAACUAGAAGACAAAAGAGAACUAAAAAGUAAGGCAAGUGCAGAAACUGUAUUUGUAGUGAGUAUAUUUACAAUCCCAGCAAAUCUGAUUUUAAGAUUUAAUGCUCCCAGAUGAUCAACAAUGGAAAAGAAAUCAAAUUCCAGGGUCUGCACAAUGUAAGCAGUUUAACUGGAGAUUCUCCUUAUAAUAAACUCCUAUCCCAAAGGAAUAACCAACAAGCUAGUGGUGAGCUAGAAUUAAACCAAGAAGUAAACCCUGCGCUGAGUUUCCUACUGUCUGAGGGUUCAAAGCUGCCCAGAGAAACUCAGGAUGGGUCUCUACAUAAAGUGGGCAUGGACCGACAGUCCCUCCAGGUGCACUCCAGAAACAUCAAUGUAGUUCUACUUGUAAAAUUUCAAUUACACUGAUGAGCACACAAAGGUAAAUGGAUAUGUAAGAAGGAAUAAAGACCUCACAGGUGAGAAUUAAUCAAGAAAAAAAAACUAGAAAAACUUUAGAUGUCUAAAUUAUUAGACAAUGACAAUAAAAUAAUCACUAAAUAAAAUAUGAAACAUUAACAAUGUACACAGGGUUUAGAAAGUAACAUAGCAGAUGUGAAAAGUCAAAUAGAAACAAAGACACUGGUGGGAAGAUUUAGUAGCAAAUCAGACAAAGCUGUAGAAAAAAUAAGGGAAAUGGAAAAAGACGAGAUGGAAAGUAGCUCAUAAAGCUUCAGAACUACACAGGAAACAGGGAGGAAAAAUAAACAUAGAAUAGAGAAAGAGAGAAUGGAGCAAGGGCUCUCUGAAUAGAUGAGUGAGAUUUUGUUCAAACUGAGGAGACACAUCAAUUACCAAUUAAAAGAAGCUCAAGGAGCCUCAAGCACAUAAACAAAUUUUACACUUUAUUAUAUCACAAUGAAACUUCAGAAAACUAAAGGCAAAGACAAAGUAAAAGAUUAAUUUCAAAGAGGUGACAAAACUGACAAAAUGAUU